AAAAAUAAAAACCAAAGACUCCGGAUUUCAUCGAACUAUGCCAUCGAGUGAUGAAAUGCCCUCGGCAACGGUGGCCCAGUGCACUUGCCAUCGGCACCGGCCCGACUACGAGCGUUGGACUCUCCGAAUACCGGACGGAACCCGGCGUCCGGCCCCGAACACGGAACUGGUGGAAGGAGUCGUUUGCACACUGAGGUAUUUGCUAGAAACAGGAUCGCCCGUGGCACGGGAUCGGACGUCCGGAGAGAACGAUAGAGUAACUGCACGACGGCACCGACGAUAGUUGGCCGGGAACCCGUCAAAACGGAUAUGCCAU